AUUCAUCAGUUUCCAUGCAAACGACCGAAUACAUGGCGAAACGAAUAAAUAAUCGCGUCGGAGGCCGAUUGCUCUCGCGAGCAUCGUACGUGCUACUUUUUCCUCGUUCGCGCUCCCAUAAUUUCCGCGGAACGAACAACAGGAUUCCGUGAAACGGACGGAGAAAAUUCCUGCGGUGGAAAGUGCUGGAUAAUAAACGUUUCCACUUUCUUGCCGGCAUGUGCGCGCGCGUUACGAAGACGAAGAGGACAUUUGCUAACGAGACCAGUGACCCGGCACUCGACGUUCCACUAUUCGCUCUUGUCUCUCGAUCUACGUUGAUCUGUGGAUCGACCAACCUACCUGACAGCUAUGAAAAAUAUAAUUCUGCGCAAUUUUCUGCGCCAUUUGUAACGAGUGUUUAGAGAUUUGUUCACGUUCAGGUGGUCACGUGUUGGCGCGUUCCAGCGCCCACUAUGACGUCAAAUACGAGAAACGCGGAGGAAACUACUAGAUUUACGUGAUCCGGACGCGCGCAAAUCUCUUUUCAUCGUCGACACCGGUUAUAAUUAAGCGCACACUUGAGAAAUCUACUGGAAGGCCAUUGAUUAAAUCGAUAAGCGGUGCUCUGAAAGGCCGGCGUAAGGCAGGUUGUUGAGCGGGUUCGCCGGAACCCGGCCCCGCGGUCUACGGAAAUUACUCAAUUAAAAAAACACCGAUUUUGAUUAACUUUUUACAGAAUGACGAUACCAUUAACAGAUGCAAGACAUUUUUGUAGUAGCGAUGAAAAUCAUGAAAUGUCAGUGUCGCCAUAUCCUGCAAACUACUUUAGAAAAAACAAAUCCAGACGCUUUCAGAGAAAUGUACUUUUCAGACAAGUUAAACUACAUCAAUAGUUUUUUGCAAAAGUCAUACAACGAUCACAGAUUUUCUACUUUCAUUGAAUCAUUUGCCCCUUGAAAGCGAAUUAUGCAUGCGAAAAAACAUUGCUUGGAUUUGUUUAAAAAACUGCUUAUAAACAAUAUACAAUACGUAACAGCAUUUGUAAAUAAAUAAUUGCUCGUUGUAAAAUUUAAGUGUAGGAUUUCAAUGUGCACUCAGGGCCCGCGAAAGGUCACGCCGGCCCUGCUCUGAGAACGAGUAAUUAUUUAUUGCGCUUGCUCGCAUGAGGAAGUAUCGAGGCCUUGAUACGCUUCAACUUGCACGGCGAGUAUCGACGUGUUACGUUAUCGAUGAUAGACACCUCGCACAGCGAAUUAGCCGCGUUUCCAGCCGAAACUAUGGUAAAAGGGGGAAGGGCAGGAUCUGUGUCUCUCGGUAGAAGCGACCAUGUAAUGUUUCGUUGCGUGGGAGUAACGGAAGCGUUGCUUAACCGUUUUAGUGGCAGCGGUUUUUAAGAAUCCGUGUCGGAUUGUGCCAUGCAGCGGGAUAGCACUCCGUUCGUUUAUUCGCGAGAAAUGCCGAUCGACGCGAU